CCUACGGGUGGCUGCAGUGGGGAAUAUUGGACAAUGGGGGCAACCCUGAUCCAGCCAUGCCGCGUGUGUGAAGAAGGCCCUCGGGUUGUAAAGCACUUUCAGUGAGGAAGAACGCCUGGUGGUUAAUACCCAUCAGGAAAGACAUCACUCACAGAAGAAGCACCGGCUAACUCCGUGCCAGCAGCCGCGGUAAUACGGAGGGUGCGAGCGUUAAUCGGAAUUACUGGGCGUAAAGCGCGCGUAGGUGGCUUGAUAAGCCGGUUGUGAAAGCCCCGGGCUCAACCUGGGAACGGCAUCCGGAACUGUCAAGCUAGAGUGCAGGAGAGGAAGGUAGAAUUCCCGGUGUAGCGGUGAAGUGCGUAGAGAUCGGGAGGAAUACCAGUGGCGAUGGCGGCCUUCUGGACUGACACUGACACUGAGGUGCGAAAGCGUGGGUAGCAAACAGGAUUAGAUACCCGGGUAGUC
rnacentral:rRNA from 1 species